rnacentral:rRNA from 1 species
AAAGUCCGGAGAGCUAAGCUGAGGCGUGAUGACGAGCGCUCUUUGAGCGUGAAGUAACUGAUACCCUGCUUCCAGGAAAAGCCUCUAAGCUUCAGUCAUAGAGUGACCGUACCGCAAACCGACACAGGUGGGCAGGUAGAAGAUACUAAGGCGCUUGAGAGAACUCAGGAGAAGGAACUCGGCAAAUUGAUACCGUAACUUCGGGAGAAGGUAUGCCCCAUUAGCUUGUAGGAGAACAUCCGAAGGGCGAAGGGGCCGCAGAGAAUCGGUGGCUGCGACUGUUUAUUAAAAACACAGCACUCUGCAAACACGAAAGUGGACGUAUAGGGUGUGACGCCUGCCCGGUGCCGGAAGGUUAAGUGAUGGGGUGCAAGCUCUUGAUCGAAGCCCCGGUAAACGGCGGCCGUAACUAUAACGGUCCUAAGGUAGCGAAAUUCCUUGUCGGGUAAGUUCCGACCUGCACGAAUGGCGUAACGAUGGCCACACUGUCUCCUCCUGAGACUCAGCGAAGUUGAAGUGUUUGUGAAGAUGCAAUCUCCCCGCGGCUAGACGGAAAGACCCCAUGAACCUUUACUGUAGCUUUGCAUUGGACUUUGACGGGACUUGUGUAGGAUAGGUGGGAGGCAUUGAAACCGGGACGCUAGUUCCGGUGGAGCCAACCUUGAAAUACCACCCUGGUGUCGUUGAGGUUCUAACCCAGGUCUGUGAAUCCAGAUCGGGGACCGUGCAUGGUGGGCAGUUUGACUGGGGCGGUCUCCUCCCAAAAGGUAACGGAGGAGUACGAAGGUCUUCUAGGUACGGUCGGACAUCGUACUGAUAGUGCAAUGGCAAAAGAAGGCUUGACUGCGAGACCGACAAGUCGAGCAGGUGCGAAAGCAGGUCAUAGUGAUCCGGUGGUUCUGUAUGGAAGGGCCAUCGCUCAACGGAUAAAAGGUACCCUGGGGAUAACAGGCUGAUUCCGCCCAAGAGUUCACAUCGACGGCGGAGUUUGGCACCUCGAUGUCGGCUCAUCACAUCCUGGGGCUGUAGCCGGUCCCAAGGGUAUGGCUGUUCGCCAUUUAAAGUGGUACGUGAGCUGGGUUUAAAACGUCGUGAGACAGUUUGGUCCCUAUCUGCCGUGGGCGCUGGAUAUUUGAGGGGGCCUGCUCCUAGUACGAGAGGACCGGAGUGGACGAAUCUCUGGUGUACCGGUUGUGACGCCAGUCGCAUCGCCGGGUAGCUAAAUUCGGAAGAGAUAACCGCUGAAAGCAUCUAAGCGGGAAACUCGCCUCUAGAUGAGAUAUCCCUGGGAACUUGAUUCCCCUAAAGGGUCGUUGAAGACCACGACGUUGAUAGGCUGGGUGUGGAAGC